GAUGAACGCUGGCGGCGUGCCUAAUACAUGCAAGUCGAGCGAACGGACGAGACGCUUGUUUCUUUGAUGUUUGCGGCGGACGUGUGAGACACACGUGGAUCACCUCCCUAUCAGUCUGGGAUAACUUCGGGAAACCGGCUCUUAUCCCGUAUAAUAUUUUGCUCCGUAUUGUUCAAUAGUGAAAUACGGUCUUUCUGUCACUUAUAGAUGGAUCCGCGCUUCAUUAGCUAGUUGGUAAGGUAAAGGCUUACCAAGGCAACGAUGCAUAGCCGAACGGAGAGGGUGGUCGGCCACACUGGAACUGAGACACGGUACAGACGCCUACGGGAGGCAGCAGUAGGGAAACUUGCGCAAGGGGCGAAAGCCUGACGGAGCAGCGCCGAGUGAGUGAUGAAGGUCUUCGGAUCGUAAAACACUGUUAUUAGGGAAGAACAUAUGUGUAAGUAACUGUGCACAUCUUGAAGGUACAUAAGCAGAAAGCCACGGCUAAAUAAGUG
rnacentral:rRNA from 1 species